GACGAACGCUGGCGGCGUGCUUAACACAUGCAAGUCGAACGGAAAGGCCUUGCUUGCUUGGUCCUCGGGUGGCGAACGGGUGAGUAACGCGUGGGUGAUCCGCCCUUGACUUCGUGCUAAGCCUGGGAAACUGGUUCUAAUCCCGGAUACGUGCCAUUUUUAGUGUGAUGGUUGGGCAGUUUUUUCGGUGUUGUAUGAGCUCGCGUCCUGUUGGCUUGUUGGUGGGUUAAUGGGCUACCAGGGCGGCGACGCGUCGACGGACUGAGAGAGUGGCCGGCCAUACUGGGACAGACAGACGGCCGAGACGGCGACGGGAGGCAGCAGGGGGGAAGAUUGCACAAGGGGCGCCGGCUUGAUGCAGCGGAGCUGCGUGUGGGAGGACGGCUUUCGUGUUGAAAACAAGGAUCGCGAGGGACGAAGAGUGUUGUGACGGUACCUAGAGAAGAAGCACCGGCUAACUACGUG
rnacentral:rRNA from 1 species